rnacentral:lncRNA from 1 species
GGCAUUCCGAGUCAAUAGUAUGGUUAUAAAACUCACAUGGGGUAUUAAAAAUACAUUGAUUUACGAGGUUUUCAAACAUAUUGGUUAUUUUACACGUACAUACAUUUUCUAGAAACAAACAUUUGUCUUGUUAGAAGGCUACAUUUAUGUUAGUAGAAAAUAUGGGAUUUUCUAGAAACAAACAAACAAAAACAAAACAUUUCAUUUUCAUACAAACAUUGUCAUUUAAUACUUAUGAAACUCACCAGCUUAAAUGCUGAUCUACUCUUUCAAAACUACUUGUAUGUCCCAGGGAUUCAGUAAUUACAGGUAUCAAAACAGCUUUUGAAGAAGGGACGCUGCGUCGUCAGUUUAAAUUCAUAUUUUGGCAUCAUAUUGUAAUUGGUUUUGAACAUGUACUUUUAACAAUGUAAACUUUCAAUUAUAUAUAUGAUGGUUGUAUUGCUUUCUUUACUAUGUAUUCAUUUGUUAUGCUACCACAUGAAGUCAUCCGCCCCCGAACGUUUCCGCCGUUCAGGUUUGGGGGUGUGACAGAUUGGUAUCAGAGCAAUGUUUAUAGUGAACUAAGUAUAUCGAACCACAUAAGAUAUACAAACUAUAAAUGCUUAAGGGACUCAUACUCUCUGACAAAACAUUUUUCUUCUGUUUUUACGCUUAAGCAGCGUUACGUUUAACUUAAAUUGUUAGUUCAUUUAAGUACAAAUACGUGCAUACAACAAAUUAUUUUCAUGAUUAUAACUAUACAAGAAGUAUUUAGACAAGUUGGACACUACGAUUAAGACUCGAUAUAUGUAAUCGGAUUUGGGACAAAUAUAGCAUGAUCAACUAUAUUUGUCCGAGAUCGGACCAAUAUAUAUCGAGGAUUGCUCGUUGUAAGCAACAAGUCAAAACUUACCAAAACAUCACAAGAAUCAAACACAAGAAUUUAAAUACUAUAGGAGUAUUAGCUACAUAAACUAGUUUAACUUACAUGUUUAAUUCUUACAAGUUCCAACUUUAUUUCAAUUCUUAUAACCCUAUUCUCGUACAGUCAAAUGGCUGGAUUUCACCACCCCGGCGACCCCUACUAUCCCAACCAAGGCAACGGGGGAUGGAUCGAAGAUGAUCCCGAGGAGGAAGAAGAAUCCAUAGAAUUGGAUGAUGACUCCGGUACCGACUCAGAGCCGGAAGUGAUCAAUCCACCUCCUGCACAACCUCCCGUCUUCGUCAGGAACUUUCAAGGAGCGACUCCCGUCUGGGGAAGUCACCUCCACCAUUGGAGCCAACAACAAAACCUACGCCCUCCCUACGGCAAGUGCCGAGACUUCUACGAUGUCCGAGGCGGAGGUUCGGCUGAUCGGGCACUACCAGUAUUGGUCGGCAAACUAGCCAAUUAGUCCUACCAAGUCGGAGUUCAAGCUAGCCGGAUUCGGGAUGUCAACAUAGAAGUACAGGUUCAUACUUCUGACAUCCGUAGGCUGGACAAAAUUCAGGACAAUGCCCAACUCCAAAUCGAGGUAUUCCAAGCGCAAAUGAUUGCGGCCCUAGCCGAAUUGAGGGAACAACAAGCCGCUUUUGAUAGGCGUCUUAUGGAAUCGAAGCAAUCGGAUGCGGAGUCAAGCUCCAAGCCCAACCUACGUCGCAAGUAGUGCUUGCCAAAAUCUCAAAUUUUGUUAUAAGUUAGGACCUCGGCUAAAAGUUUUUAAUUUUUCUUAAACUUUGUAACCGGAGACCCUUAUAGGGGUCAAAUUUUCGUGAUCAUUGUAUCAACUAUUAUAUUAAUAUAAGUGGCACUAUUAUUAAUACGUGGAGUAUUUCAUUCAAUCCUUAAAAAGUUAUGGAAAAACCAAAUGCUUGUUUCAUAUUUUCAGUCUUACAAAUAACUUUCAUUCUUCUAUUUUGAGACUCGUACUAUCAUCUGUUGUUGGGCUAUAGCAAUUUAGUUCAUGAGACACAUACAGUUUCUAUGCCAUGGAAUUCUUAUCUUUAUCUUUUCAACCUAUAGUUGAAGGAUGCCUCCGCGUAGGAACCCAAGACGAAACAACGGUGGGGAAGCACCUAUACCACCACCACCUCCACCUCCUCAAUUUGAUGCUGUCAUGUUCCAAGCAGCAGUCCCCGCAGUGGUAGCAGCUGCCAUGUCACAGAUCAAUAACUCGAGUACUACUGGCUCGGGAACUGGCACACACCUAUCCAACCAUGGCGAGAGUCAUGGGCAACCCCGAGAAUGCACCUAUAAGGACUUUACUAAUGCCAAACCCCGGAUGUUUUAUGGAACUGGUGGUGUGAUGGCUCUGAGGCAGUGGAUUGAAAGGAUAGAAUCAGUCUUUGAAAUCUGCUCCUGUCCUGAGCACAGCAAAGUCAAGUUUGCAACUUUCACCCUUAUUGAUAGAGCUUUAACUUGGUGGAAUGGCCACGUUAAGGUACUUACCCUGAUAGUGGCAAACUCCAUAAGCUGGGAAAGCUUAAAAGUCAUGCUGAUGAGAGAAUACUGUCCACGAGGAGAGAUUCAAAAACUCGAGCACGAACUCUGGACUCUUGGAAUGGUUGGUACCGAUAUCGCAACUUAUACCAAUAGAUUCUGCGAUCUGGCAAUCCUCUGUCCAGAUAUAAUUGCUCCUGAGAGCAAGAAAAUAGAGAGAUACAUUUGGGGACUGUCGCCCCAAAUUAGGUCAAGCGUGUUAGCUUCAAAACCUGACACUUUUGAAAGUGCCAAGGAACUGGCACAAUCUCUUGUUGACUACGGAGGUCAUCAGAACUCAACGGUUGCUACACCAGAACCACAAAAAGGAAACAACAACAACAACAAUAACAGGAAGAGAGUAUGGAAUAAAGGGAAGGGUGGGCCUUCCCAAGAAUCCGCGAAGAAAAAACUGGUUUCAGUGAAUGCUGCUACUGUACCUACUACCGUUCCUACGAAUCCCUACCCAACAAAGCCUUAUGGGGGUAAUCUUCCAUAGUGCACGAAAUGCACUUAUCACCAUCAUGGACCUUGUCAGGAAAUGCAGUGUUCCAACUGCAACAGAAAGGGACACACUGUCCGUUUCUGCAAGGAUCCCGCGAAGCCGAUCACUCAAGUUCCCAGUGCGGGUGUAGGCCAAACUUGCUACGGUUGUGGCGAGGUGGGCCACUAUAAGAGAAANGAGGUGGGCCACUACAGAAGGAACUGCCCAAAGCCAGCAAAUACCGACGGGGUGGGACGAGUUUUGGCUAUAGGCCACGAUGAAGCCGUAGCUGAUCCGACUGUAGUUGCUGGUACGUUCCUUCUCGAUAAUUCAUAUGCAUGCAUAUUAUUCGAUAGUGGAGCGGAGAGAAGCUUCGUGAGUCAAAACUUUAUUCACUUACUUAAACAUAAACCUAGCAAGUUAGAAAAAUCAUUCACUGUAGAGAUGGCCAAUGGAAAAACGGAAAACACUAACUGCAUAUACAUGGACUGUACGUUAACUUUAGACGGUCAUUCUUUCCCAAUCAACCUCAUGCCGGUCCAAAUUAAAAGUUUCGACGUCAUAGUCGGCAUGGAUUGGUUAUGUCUUUUUCGCGCCAACAUCCUGUGCUUUGAAAAAGCAGUUCGUCUUAGCCUUCCUAACGAUGAAACAUUAGUGAUUUACGGCGACAAAUCAAGUAAAAACCUUCGUAUCAUUUCGUGCAUCCAAGCUCGAAAGUGUUUACGGAAGGAUUGUUGAGCAUUCCUAGCACACAUCGUCGAUACGAGUCAGGAACUGAAGGACAUCAAGAACAUUCCAGAAGUACGCGACUUUCCCGAUAUCUUUCCAGAAGAACUACCGGGAUUACCACCACAACGCCAAGUCGAUUUUUGAAUCGACUUAGUUCUAGGGGCUACCCCAGUAGCGAAGUCGCCUUAUCGCCUAGCACCAGCAGAGAUGCAAGAACUUUCCAGUCAGCUUAACGAACUCCUUCAAAAAGGAUUCAUCAGACCAAGUUUCUAACCUUGGGGAGCACCGGUCCUGUUUGUAAAGAAGAAAGACGGAUCGUUCCGCAUGUGCAUCGACUACAGAGAACUGAACAAGCUUACUGUCAAAAAUCGCUAUCCUCUACCCCGUAUUGAUGACCUAUUUGAUCAUCUUCAAGGAGCAAACUACUUCUCGAAGAUAGAUCUACGAUCCGGAUAUCACCAAUUACGAGUGCUAGAAGGGGAUAUUCCCAAGACAGCAUUCCGAACUCGUUAUGGACACUACGAAUUUGUAGUGAUACUGUUCGGGUUAACCAACACACCAGCAGUAUGUAUGGACCUAAUGAAUAGGGUGUGUCGUCCCUACUUAGAUCAGUUCGUCAUCGUCUUCAUCGAUGACAUACUUAUCUACUCCCGAAGUAAGGAAGAACAUAGUCAGCACUUACGAAAAGCCUUAGAAACAUUGCGAUCGGAGAAGCUCUAUGCGAAGUUCUCUAAAUGCGAAUUUUGGAUUCGAAGAGUCGAAUUUUUGGGCCACAUUGUUAGCGAGAAGGGGAUACACGUGGACCCCUCCAAAAUUAAGGCCAUUGAGAACUGGUCGGCACCAAAGACACCUACAGAGAUUCGUCAAUUUCUAGGUCUCGCCGGCUACUAUCGCAGAUUCAUAAAGAACUUCUCUAGCAUUGCGAAACCUCUUACUAAAUUAACCCAGAAAGGCGUGGCCUUUGACUAGGAAGCGAAACAAGAGAAGGCGUUCCAAAUGCUGAAACAUGCCUUGUGCACCGCACUGAUACUAUCCCUCCCCAAAGGGAUAGAAGAUUUCGUAGUGUAUUGCGAUGCAUCAAACCAAGGACUUGGUUGCGUUCUUAUGCAGAGAGGGAAGGUUAUUGCUUAUGCCUCCCGACAGCUUAAGACACACGAAGUGAACUAUACGACCCACGAUCUUGAGUUAGGAGCAGCGGUAUUUGCUCUGAAGAUCUGGAGACACUACUUAUACGGAACAAAGAGUACUAUUUUCACCGAUCACAAGAGCCUUCAACACAUUUUUGAUCAGAAGGAACUCAACAUGCGACAACGACGAUGGGUCGAGUUACUCAAUGACUACGAAUGUGAAAUUCGUUAUCAUCCUGGCAAGGCCAACGUGGUAGCUGACGCCCUCAGUCGAAAAGAAUACACUGGGUGGAGAGUCAAAUCUCAGACUAUGACUAUCCAUUCCCACUUAUCCACACAAAUUAAGGAGGCUCAACUGGAAGCUUUGCAACCUGAAAAUGUGGCAAGUGAAUCCCUGAGAGGAAUGGAAAAGAAUUUAGAAAUCAAGGGUGGCGGAGCAUAUUAUCUCAUGGACCGAAUCUGGACGCCGAAACAUGGUGGUUUCAGAGACGUAGUCAUGACCGAAGCACACAACACGAGAUAUUCCGUUCACCCAGGUUCAGAUAAAAUGUAUCUGGAUCUUAAGAAACUGUACUGGUGGCCUAACAUGAAAGCAGAAAUUGCUACCUUCGUAAGUAAAUGCCUUACUUGCGCUAAGGUUAAGGUCGAGUAUCAGAAACCGUCAGGAUUACUACAACAACCGGAGAUACCAGAAUGGAAAUGGGAGCGGAUUACUAUGGACUUCAUAACCAAGUUACCCAAGACGACGAGUGGACUCGAUACCAUAUGGGUCAUUGUCGACAGAUUGACCAAAUCCGCACAUUUCCUACCCAUCAAGGAGACUGACAAAAUGGAGAAGCUUACAAGAACUUACUUAAGGGAAGUAGUGCGACUGCAUGGUGUUCCGAUAUCCAUUAUCUCCGAUAGAGAUAGUAGAUUCACUUCAAGAUUCUGGCAGUCACUACAAAGUUCCCUGGGGACUAGGCUAGACAUGAGUACAGCCUACCACCCACAAACAGACGGGCAAAGUGAGAGAACGAUACAAACUUUAGAAGAUAUGCUGAGAGCCUGUGUGAUUGACUUUGGAAAGGCAUGGGAUAUCCAUUUACCCCUUGUCGAAUUUUCAUACAACAAUAGUUAUCAUACAAGCAUAAAGGCUGCUCCGUUUGAAGCCCUCUAUGGUCGAAAGUGCAGAUCCCCUCUGUGCUGGACUGAAGUUGGCGAUACCCAGUUAGCUAGAGGAAGAGUUCCUGAAAGCACUCUCACCGGUCCGGAGAUCAUACGAGAAACGACAGAGAAGAUCGUUCAGAUUCGUGAACGAUUGAAAGCCUCUAGAGACCGACAGAAAAGCUACGCUGACCAAAGGAGGAAACCUUUGGAAUUCCAGGUAGGAGACCACGUCUUAUUAAAGGUCUCACCGUGGAAGGGUUUAAUACGAUUUGGAAAGCGUGGGAAACUAAAUCCAAGAUACAUAGGGCCUUUCGAGAUUCUUGCCAGAAUCGGCCCUGUGGCUUACAAGCUUAACCUACCGCGCGAACUUAGUAACAUCCAUCCAACCUUCCACGUCUCAAACUUGAAAAAGUGUCUGUCCGACGAGACUCUUGUUAUUCCACUCGACGAGAUCGAGAUCAACGAGAGCCUCAACUUUGUGGAAGAACCGGUAGAAAUCAUGGACCGAGAGGUCAAACAAACAAAACAAAGUCGCAUACCCAUCGUGAAGGUUCGUUGGAACGCCAAGCGGGGACCUAAAUUCACAUGGGAACGCGAAGAUCAGAUGAAACAAAAGUACCCUCACCUUUUUCAUAUUCACUAGUAUCCUUACUACUUUAAAUUUCGAGAUGAAAUUCCCUCUAACGGGGGGAUGAUGUGACAACCCGAUAUUUCAACUCUUUGUAACGACCAAAAUGGGUCAAGUAUUGUAACCACUUCUGAAUAAUAAAAAGUUACCUUCAUAAUAACAUGUAUAAAUAAGUUCUACUUAAUUUCCUUCUAUGAUUAAAUGUCUUUGAAACAUAAUCGUACGUGAAAAGAACGCCCAAAUCCGACUUCAUAUAGCGAAGAUAUGAUUUUUCCAAGUUCGGCUUAGCAACAGACAGCUAAAAACUCGAAUCGGAGAUCGAGCGACUUUUGGCCGGAAUGACCUAAACGAGAAUCGAAGGUCUCGACAAUGGUAAUUCAGCGGUAAAAAGUCUGGCAAAAACCGACGUCAGAUAAAGAAGUUAUGAAUUUCUAAAGAAAUUCCUUAAACACGACCUUUUAAAAAUAAAUAAUAAAAAUAAUUUCAAAAUUUGCCGACGGAAUCUAAACGAAAGUUGUAGAGCGUAGUCUCACCUACGUGUGGAUAUAAAGACCAUCGAAAACGGAAUUCGUAUGAAGAAGAUAUGAAUUUUAGAAGUUUAUUAAUUAAAUAAAAUAUUAAUUUAAUUAUUAAUCCUUGGUAUUAUCCGAAGGGGAGUCGUCAGAUAGGGCCGAGUUACGCCCCGCGUAAGCUCGUACGCCCCGUGUACUAAAAGCCUAGGCUUCGGAUCGUCCACGUCUCGCCCUAUGCGAAGUUAUGCCCCGUCCCAUCCGAGUCCGAGGCAGUCGAGGAUCCGGUCAUGCGUGACAUACGCGUACGCCCAGCGUACCCUCGUACGCCCCGCGUACCGAGGCGGUUUCCAGCCCCUAUAAAAGGGAUGCGAGGGUUCCGAAGAAAGGGCUCCAUUUCUCUAAUUUCUUUUGCGUUCUUGCCUCGUUUUCCAUGCCCAUGCUAACCCGAAGCCCUGGUCAUUUUGCUCAAGUCCCGAAGAUCGUUUGUACUCCCGAGAUUCCCGAGAAAAUCCGUUUUCCCGAGACAAAAUUCUGCCCGAAGAUCAUACCCCUUAAUUAACCCUUUUAAAUAUUCUAAAUGCUUUUAUAUGCUUUCAUGGGGGGGGGGGGGNNNNNNNNNNNNNNGGGGGGAAUACAAGUAAAACACACGAUUAUUAUCGGGUGUUAUAUAUAAAGUUUUAUUAUACACUUUUAUUAAAUAGAAUCAUAUGUGAUUUAUAAACUUUAUAGGGAACUCUCGUAUAUAAAAUAUAUUACAAUAGCAUUCUAUCUUUUGAAAUAUAAAUUGUUGUAAUGCAUGUAUAAACUAAACAUUUUGCUUAGAUUAUAUGUAUACGUGUCUAUCUUAGACACUAUAAAAAUCUAUACUUUCACAUCAAGUGAUUCAUUUUCUAGGGAUUUCUAAACAAAUGAGACACUUUUAGAAAGCUAUAAUAGGUAUAGUUUUACGAGAAUUUUUCUAACUUUUACAUACUAGACACACAAUUUUCGAANUUUUAUACUAAGAUUUGUGAGACAUUAACUUCACGUACGUUCGAGUACACAUUUCAAGUCCUGUAUUAUAUACCAGAAUCCCUUGGAGGGGGAGCAUGGUGUUUGUGUAUAGAUCUAUACGGGCUUGACAACCCGCGCCUUGACUGUUAGCUACAGUCCACCAUUUGGGGUGACAAACGUCAUAACAUUCCAACGCCUGAAGAACGUUGUGUAUAGGCAUUCCGAGUCAAUAGUAUGGUUAUAAAACUCACAUGGGGUAUUAAAAAUACAUUAAUUUACGAGGUUUUCAAACAUAUUGGUUAUUUUACACGUACAUACAUUUUCUAGAAACAAACAUUUGUCUUGUUAGAACGCUACAUUUAUGUUAGUAGAAAAUAUGGGAUUUUCUAGAAACAAACAAACAAAAACAAAACAUUUCAUUUUCAUACAAACAUUGUCAUUUAAUACUUAUGAAACUCACCAGCUUAAAUGCUGAUCUACUCUUUCAAAACUACUUGUAUGUCCCAGGGAUUCAGUAAUUACAGGUAUCAAAACAGCUUCUGAAGAAGGGACGCUGCGUCGUCAGUUUAAAUUCAUAUUUUGGCAUCAUAUUGUAAUUGGUUUUGAACAUGCACUUUUAACAAUGUAAACUUUCAAUUAUAUAUAUGAUGGUUGUAUUGCUUUCUUUACUAUGUAUUCAUUUGUUAUGCUACCACAUGAAGUCAUCCGCCCCCGAACGUUUCCGCCGUUCCGGUUUGGGGGUGUGACAUCUUUGGUAGUUUACAGUU